CAGGCCGGAAAUGUCGCUGCAAAUUCAACCAGAAUCAAAGAACCGGGGAGCCCAUUGAAGAGGAGGGAUCGUUCCGCGCCUCCAUCAGACGUAUGUCCAGCAGGAGGGUAUAGCUCUGAAUAGACGGAGAG